UGAGUAAUACAUCGGAACGUGUCUUCUAGUGGGGGAUAACUGCCCGAAAGGGCGGCUAAUACCGCAUGAGACCUGAGGGUGAAAGCGGGGGAUCGCAAGACCUCGCGCUGGAAGAGCGGCCGAUGUCCGAUUAGCUAGUUGGUGAGGUAAAGGCUCACCAAGGCGACGAUCGGUAGCUGGUCUGAGAGGACGACCAGCCACACUGGGACUGAGACACGGCCCAG
rnacentral:rRNA from 1 species